rnacentral:rRNA from 1 species
UUCUUUCACCGGAGCUUGCUCCACCGAAAGAAAAAGAGUGGCGAACGGGUGAGUAACACGUGGGUAACCUGCCCAUCAGAAGGGGAUAACACUUGGAAACAGGUGCUAAUACCGUAUAACACUAUUUUCCGCAUGGAAGAAAGUUGAAAGGCGCUUUUGCGUCACUGAUGGAUGGACCCGCGGUGCAUUAGCUAGUUGGUGAGGUAACGGCUCACCAAGGCAACGAUGCAUAGCCGACCUGAGAGGGUGAUCGGCCACACUGGGACUGAGACACGGCCCAGACUCCUACGGGAGGCAGCAGUAGGGAAUCUUCGGCAAUGGACGAAAGUCUGACCGAGCAACGCCGCGUGAGUGAAGAAGGUUUUCGGAUCGUAAAACUCUGUUGUUAGAGAAGAACAAGGAUGAGAGUAAAAUGUUCAUCCCUUGACGGUAUCUAACCAGAAAGCCACGGCUAACUACGUGCCAGCAGCCGCGGUAAUACGUAGGUGGCAAGCGUUGUCCGGAUUUAUUGGGCGUAAAGCGAGCGCAGGCGGUUUCUUAAGUCUGAUGUGAAAGCCCCCGGCUCAACCGGGGAGGGUCAUUGGAAACUGGGAGACUUGAGUGCAGAAGAGGAGAGUGGAAUUCCAUGUGUAGCGGUGAAAUGCGUAGAUAUAUGGAGGAACACCAGUGGCGAACGCGGCUCUCUGGUCUGUAACUGACGCUGAGGCUCGAAAGCGUGUGGAGCGAACAGGA